ACGAACGCUGGCGGCAUGCCUAAUACAUGCAAGUCGAGCGGACUUGAAGAGAAGCUUGCUUCUUUGAUGGUUAGCGGCGGACGGGUGAGUAACACGUAGGCAACCUGCCCUCAAGUUUGGGACAACUACCGGAAACGGUAGCUAAUACCGAAUAGUUGUUUUCUUCUCCUGAAGAGAACUGGAAAGACGGAGCAAUCUGUCACUUGGGGAUGGGCCUGCGGCGCAUUAGCUAGUUGGUGAGGUAACGGCUCACCAAGGCGACGAUGCGUAGCCG
rnacentral:rRNA from 1 species